rnacentral:rRNA from 1 species
UACGUAGGGUGCAAGCGUUGCCCGGAUUUAUUGGGCGUAAAGGGCGCGUAGGCGGCUCUGCACGUUCGUUGUGAAAUCGCCCGGCUCAACUGGGCGGGGUCAGCGGAUACGGCAGAGCUUGAGCAAGCUAGGGGGCAAUGGAAUUCCCGGUGUAGUGGUGGAAUGCGUAGAUAUCGGGAGGAACACCAGUGGCGAAGGCGAGUCCCUGGACAGGUCCUGACGCUGAGGCACGAAAGCUAGGGGAGCAAACAGG